CCGCCUCCGGAGCCAGAGCGGAAAAAUCCACCCGCCGCCCGCCUCGCUCGUCGCCGACCCCCAAAUUAAUCCGCAGCCUCAGACCUCUCGUCCGAGGCCGGCGAGUGUAGUGGGGAACAACAGCAUCAGAAAUGGGCAACUACCUGACAAGUACAAGAACAACACGAGAGAAACGCGUUCAUGUUAAACCAGCGACGGGAUCGACCAAUGGCAAGGGAAGACCUAACAUCAAACUUCAAGACCUUCCAGAGGAUGUGUUAUGCACAAUUUUAUCGAAAUUACCGGCGAAAGAGGUUGUGUGGACCAGCGCUUUGGCGAGCGAGUGGGAGUCUUUGUGGACAACUUGCCCCAGACUAAGGAGGUGUUUGGUUCUCUGGCUAGUAACACAAACGUUAAUGGUAACAGGACACGCGGGGGGAUCGAAGGGGUAACAGUCCAGUUGUUAUUUUGUUUGGCACAUGCCAGUAACGUUAUCAGUUACCUUUACAGUGUUUGGUGUGGCACUAUAA